UGGGGAAUAUUGGGCAAUGGACGCAAGUCUGACCCAGCAACGCCGCGUGAAGGAAGAAGGCUUUCGGGUUGUAAACUUCUUUUAAGGGGGAAGAGAAGAAGACGGUACCCCUUGAAUAAGCCACGGCUAACUACGUGCCAGCAGCCGCGGUAAUACGUAGGUGGCAAGCGUUGUCCGGAUUUACUGGGUGUAAAGGGCGUGUAGCCGGGUCGGUAAGUCAGAUGUGAAAUCUACGGGCUCAACUCGUAAACUGCAUUUGAAACUGCUGAUCUUGAGUAUCGGAGAGGCAAUCGGAAUUCCUAGUGUAGCGGUGAAAUGCGUAGAUAUUAGGAGGAACACCAGUGGCGAAGGCGGAUUGCUGGACGACAACUGACGGUGAGGCGCGAAAGCGUGGGGAG
rnacentral:rRNA from 1 species